UUCCGGUUCUAUAUGUUAAUAGGUUUUACAUAGUUACCCCUCCCCCAGCUCUUUGUUGCCUUUCUGUGUCUCAUUCUAUUCUAACUCAUGUUUAUCUUUUAGUUCAACUCUUUGUAACAUCCCUGCAUAUCAGGAAUCUUGUCUUAUUGGUGUCUACAGAGCUCUAGGGGCCACUGAAGAAAAUGUCUCUGGUGGACUCUGGCAACCUUCAGCUGAAAUUUCUAUCCAAGAGGAUCCAGGGUGUCCAAGAAAAUAAAGAGAAGGGAUCCCUGGGUGGCGCAGCGGUUCGGCGCCUGCCUUUGGCCCGGGGCGCGAUCCUGGAGACCCGAGAUCGAAUCCCACGUCGGGCUCCCGGUGCAUGGAGCCUGCUUCUCCCUCUGCCUAUGUCUCUGCUUCUCUCUCUCUCACUGUGUGCCNCUCUGUGACUCAUAUAUAAAAAAAAAAUUUAAAAAAAAAGAAAAUAAAGAGAAGGGAGGAGGCCA
rnacentral:lncRNA from 1 species